CUUGCAUGGAAAGCUUGUGGAGCAGCAGCAAGUGUGAUCAGCAAUAUUCCAACUUAAAAAGCUUUGACUCCAGAUAGCCACUGCCAGUCUGUUUUCAAAGGGAAAAAAAUGCAGUCAGUGUUAAGUGGUGAGGGUCCCAUGAAACACAGAGUUCAAUGGAUUAGGAUAUCCUUCAAUUUUGAGACAUCUGACAACGAAGACCUAAGCCAAAGCCCAGGAAAGAUGCUAUGGCAGCUACCUGCUGGGAGAAACUUGUCUGUCAAUAAGAAUAGAAAGUACAGUUGAAUCCUUUACUAACAGAAUAAAGUGGAAAUUGUGUUCUGUCUCCAUUUCUCUAAGCAAAGUGGCCUCAUUGGCCUCCUGCCUUCUGUGUUCUUAGAAGGAAAUUGUUUAAUUCUCACAUUCACUGACACUGCUUUUAGCACACUUGACACAUCUGUGCAUGUUA